rnacentral:rRNA from 1 species
AUUGAACGCUGGCGGCAGGCCUAACGCAUGCAAGUCGAACGGUAACAGGAAGAAGCUUGCUUCUUUGCUGACGAGUGGCGGACGGGUGAGUAAUGUCUGGUAAACUGCCUGAUGGAGGGGGAUAACUACUGGAAACGGUAGCUAAUACCGCAUAACGUCGCAAGACCAAAGAGGGGGACCUUCGGGCCUCUUGCCAUCGGAUGUGCCCAGAUGGGAUUAGCUAGUAGGUGGGGUAACGGCUCACCUAGGCGACGAUCCCUAGCUGGUCUGAGAGGAUGACCAGCCACACUGGAACUGAGACACGGUCCAGACUCCUACGGGAGGCAGCAGUGGGGAAUAUUGCACAAUGGGCGCAAGCCUGAUGCAGCCAUGCCGCGUGUAUGAAGAAGGCCUUCGGGUUGUAAAGUACUUUCAGCGGGGAGGAAGGGAGUAAAGUUAAUACCUUUACUCAUUGACGUUACCCGCAGAAGAAGCACCGGCUAACUCCGUG